rnacentral:misc_RNA from 1 species
UCCCGCUUAUCACGGGCAGUUUCCUUAAAGUGCCCGGCAUAACCCGCUGGUAAUUAAGGAUGAGGGUUGCGCUCGUUGCGGGACUUAACCCAACAUCUCACGACACGAGCUGACGACAGCCAUGCAACACCUGUCUUGGGUCCAGCCGAGCUGAAGGAAAAGAUCUCUCUAAUCCGCGACCCAGAUGUCAAGGGUUGGUAAGGUUUUUCGCGUUGCAUCGAAUUAAACCACAUGCUCCACCGCUUGUGCGGGCCCCCGUCAAUUUCUUUGAGUUUUAAUCUUGCGACCGUACUCCCCAGGCGGGGUGCUUAACGCGUUAGCUGCGACACCGAAGCUAUUGCCCCGAUAUCUAGCACCCAUAGUUUACGGCGUGGACUAC